AAUAUGGUUGCUGAAUCAUAUGGCAAGACUGUUUGAUUUUAUAAGAAACCACUAAAUUUUCUCCUAAAGUUACUGAGCCAUUCUGCAUUCCCAGUAGCAAU
rnacentral:pre_miRNA from 1 species